AAUUCACUUGUUGUACAAUAAAAGUUGUUUUUUGUUAUUUUUGUCAGAUUGUUGUACAACAAUAGCAAAAACAACUUUUGUUGCACAACAAAUGAAUU
rnacentral:miRNA from 1 species